rnacentral:tRNA from 1 species
GUUUUAAUAAUUUAAAUAAAAUAUUGGUCUUGUAAACCGAAAAUAAGUUAUUCUUUUAAAACU